UUAUUCAUACACAUUAUUCUCUAACCUUACUCAUCUUCUUCCUUGAGAUAAACCCACAAAUUCUCUUUCUCUCUCGAUUUCAUCUUCUUCUUCAUCUCUGUUUCUUCAUUUCUUCUUGUUGCUGCACACAAAGCUUUGGCUUUGUUUUCUAUUUGGUUUUCUCCACACACAAAAAUGUGUGUUUGUUUGAGUAAAGUCACUAUAAUACAUUGUUAUUUAAGCCAUAAGUUACGGAACGCAAUGUUCAAUUUUCAAUCAAAUUCAUGUGUGAUAUUUAUCAACAUGGGUUAAAUAAAAUGGGUUCAAUCAAUUUUCAAUCAAAACCUUGUUAUUUUCGAGUAAUAUUCAAUUAUUCAUUAACAACAUGGGUUCGUUUCUGAUUAAUUGGUUUGACAUUUAGCUCACUUUUUCAUUUAUUUGAACAUUUAAAAAGAUAAUAGAGGUUAUUAAAUUGAGAUUUAAUUAGGAGCAUGGAUCUAAUUAAUAGACAGCUAGGAGGAACACAUAGUUGCACAAUAAUUUGAAGUUAUAGAGGAACACGUUUCACUCCAUUUAUUUAGUUGAUAUGAUUAUAUCCUUCAGAAAAACAAGUGUUUGUAAUUAUCUGUAGUAAUCAUGAUCAUUCUGCUUCAUCAAAUAUGGUACAUGGAGUGUCGUAUGCUUUUCUUCCAGAGUUAA